rnacentral:rRNA from 1 species
GACGAACGCUGGCGGCGUGCUUAACACAUGCAAGUCGAACGAUGGAGCCGGAGCUUGCUCUGGUGAAUUAGUGGCGAACGGGUGAGUAACACGUGAGUAACCUGCCCUUGACUCUGGGAUAACUGCGGGAAACUGUAGCUAAUACCGGAUACGACCCUCGGAGGCAUCUCCUGGGGGUGGAAAGAAUUUCGGUCAAGGAUGGACUCGCGGCCUAUCAGCUAGUUGGUGAGGUAAAGGCUCACCAAGGCGACGACGGGUAGCCGGCAUGAGAGGGUGACCGGCCACACGAGGACUGAGACACGGCCCAGACUCCGACGGGAGACAGCAGUGGGGAAUAUUGCACAAAGGGCGCAAGCCUGGUGCAGCAACGCCGCGUGAGGGUGGACGGCCUUCGGGUUGUAAACCUCUUUUAGCAGGGAAGAAGCGAAAGUGACGGUACCUGCAGAAAAAGCACCGGCUAACUACGUGCCAGCAGCCGCAGUAA